rnacentral:lncRNA from 1 species
UGCGUGUGCCUCAGCACCGGCUCUCAGUGCCCCACAUCUGGCUGGGCUAGGGGAGCUCGAGGAUGCUAAGGCGGCUGAAACGGUCCAGUGAGGAAAUGGAGACAAGCCUGGCAUUAUCUGGAAGAUGGUUAACGUGCCUGUGUGUUAGGAAAACUGUGCACAACAAAUUGAAGCGUUGGUGAAGAAGGAAGCUUUUCAAAUAACGGCGGAAGGGGGUGGAAAAAUGAUGCUGGGGCUGAGGACUGCUUCCAGUGCUGCCUAGCGGGAGGUGCAUGGUCUGUGGCGGUGGCUCCGGCAUCGGCUCUGACUCCUUCCAGCCACCUUGCAUGCUGACCGGGACCAGGGAGGCUGCUGCACUGCUGUAGGUGGGAGAGCCCAACCGCUGCUCUGUUAGUAAUUCGGGGCUCUCGAGCUCCAGCUGGUCGAGGGAAGGGAUCGUUACGUUACGUUGCCUUGAUGACAGCGCAGACAACAAAACAAACCGAGUGAACGGCAAGGCUGGCAGGGAGAAGCUGAGGUGUUUUGGAAGCGAAGAUGUCAGUGACUGUGAGCAAAGUCUGCUGAGGGGGAGACCCGUGCCUGCCUGAAUUUCCUAUUACAGCCGGGGAGGUUAUAUUUUAGCCACGAUUUCAAACAGCAGCAGCAACAACAACAGAUUGCUCCCCCUCUUGCUCCCUCCCCUUCCACCCUGCUUUAAACCCAAGCAAGCGACUGUCCAGAUGAUACUCUCGGCGAGCUGCUGACAAAGAAAAGGCAAGUCCCCGAUUCUUGCCACCGGGAUAGUUGGCUGCUUGAGACUGGAAGAUUUCUCACUGUUGAACUUUUCUGUCCUGUGAUGCUGCGGUGAACCUGCUAUCUGAAAGCUAUCGCCUCUGUAUUUCCGAGCUGGCCAGAUGGAAAGAGAUUAAUGGACUGAUCAAACAGCCAUAGCCUUCAAGUCUCUGGCAGGGGCUACUCCUUCCGCACACACAGCCGUGUGGGCUCUUGUGGGGAGGGGAGCAGGACACCUUUGUGGAGGUGCUUCCC